rnacentral:rRNA from 1 species
CGCCCAUUGGCCAAUAAUGGGUAAAUACUGCCCCCUGAGCAAUUUAAUGGCCGCGGUAUCCUAACCGUGCUAAGGUAGCAUAAUCAUUUGUCUUUUCAUUGAAGGCUUGAAUGAACGUACCGACGGGGGGAAACUGACUCAACCUUACACAAUAAAUUUUAACUUAGGGUAAAAAUGCCCCAAUAAUUUAGAAAGACGACAAGACCCUAUAAAACUUUACCUCCUAGCUUUUCUUUUAUAUAGUAUUCUCUAUAAAAGCUUAGUGGUUAGCUGGGGCGGCCAACCCCCUCCGGGGGGAAAAAUAACACCUUGUGUGACCCCAAGAACCCCCUUUCGUAGGAAGAUCAAGUUACUUUAGGGAUAACAGCGUAAUUGUUUCUUAGAGCCCCUAUCGAUGAAAUAGCUUACGACCUCGAUGUUGAAUUGGGGAACCUUUUGGGAGCAGCCCCUCAUGAAGGAAGUCUGUUCGACUUUUAAUCCCCCACGUGAUC